rnacentral:rRNA from 1 species
UACGAAGGGGGCUAGCGUUGUUCGGAAUUACUGGGCGUAAAGCGCGCGCAGGCGGUCCUUCAAGUCAGAGGUGAAAGCCCAGAGCUCAACCUUGGAACUGCCUUUGAUACUGGAGACCUUGAGUCCGGGAGAGGUGAGUGGAAUUGCGAGUGUAGAGGUGAAAUUCGUAGAUAUUCGCAAGAACACCAGUGGCGAAGGCGGCUCACUGGCCCGGAACUGACGCUGAGACGCGAAAGCGUGGGGAGCAAACAGG